UAGCCUGCCAGGCUCCUCCGUCCGUGGGAUUCUCCAGGCAAGAGCACUGGAGUGGGUGCCAUUUCGGCACCAGAAACCAUGAGGAGGAGACGCGGCACCCUCUCCCGUGUGCGAAGCCGGCUCGGUGUUGCUCCUGCAGUUGCCGUUAGCCAUUGAGAAUUGUUCUUCUCUUCCUUUUGGAGAGUAAGAGGGAGAGACUGUAGUCUGAGUGGU
rnacentral:snoRNA from 1 species